AGCAGCCGCGGUAAUUCCAGCUCCAAUAGCGUAUAUUAAAGUUGUUGCAGUUAAAAAGCUCGUAGUUGAAUUUCGGGAUCAAUAUGUCGGUCGUGCCUUGGUACGUACUGGUAUCAUUGGUCUCUCCUUUCUGACGAACCAUGAUGUCAUUUAAUUUGGUGUUAUGGGAAGUUAGGACUGUUACUUUGAAAAAAUUAGAGUGUUUAAAGCAGGCUUUAGCUUGAAUACAUUAGCAUGGAAUAAUGAAAUAGGACGUUCGAACCUAUUUUGUUGGUUUCUAGGAUCAACGUAAUGAUUAAUAGGGAUAGUUGGGGGCAUUAGUAUUCAAUUGUCAGAGGUGAAAUUCUUGGAUUUAUUGAAGACUAACUACUGCGAAAGCAUUUGCCAAGGAUGUUUCAUUAAUCAAGAACGAAAGUUAGGGGAUCGAAGACGAUCAGA
rnacentral:rRNA from 1 species